rnacentral:lncRNA from 1 species
UGUUGUGUGUGUGUCAAAAUCAGAGAAUGAAUGAAAUCUAAGACCCGCUCUCGCUCCCUGGGAACUAACAGCACUGCUGCGCGAGCGCUGUGUUGGCACCUCCUCAAACCCUCACGGCAGCCCCGCAAGUGGUUCGUCAUUUCCGCUUAGCAAACAGGAAAUUGAGUCAAUAAGUUGGCCAUGGUCAGACUAAUUGCCAAGUGACUGAGCCAAGAUUUAAACCAAUGUUUGUUUGAUUCAAACACCUAUGCUCUUGAAUGCUGUACUGCAGAUAAAAGACAAGAGAAGGUACAGGAAUUUUCCAGCCAGAGGACUCUCAAAUUGUGGGAGCAUCAGGCCUCUUUCAGUCUUGGUCUGCACCAGCACACGUGGAAUAAAAGCUUCUUUCCACAGUCAUUUGAGAAGAGAUUCUCGGCUCCCGUCAUUCUACCUAACCUCCAUGGGUUUCAGAAAAAAUAACCCAGAAGAAGAAGCACACACACAACCGCAGAACUCCAGAAAGGAGCAAGAGAUGAACAGAAGGGUGAAGACAAAACCACAGUGGCCACUGUGUCCAUGUCUGCAGGCAGGGUCCCUGGACACCUGGGCAGCACCUGCGGGGAUGGCAGCCAAGGCAGGCUCUGCAACUUUCAAUCCAACAGCAUCUCAAAGGGUGUAA